GGUGGCUCAGUGGUAAAGCACUUGCCUUGCAUGCAUGAGGUCCUGGGUUCGAUUCCUCAGCACCA
rnacentral:tRNA from 1 species